GAUGAACGCUGGCGGCGUGCCUAAUACAUGCAAGUCGAGCGAACGGACGAUAAGCUUGCUUCUCUGAUGUUAGCGGCGGACGGGUGAGUAACACGUGGAUAACCUACCUAUAAGACUGGGAUAACUUCGUGAAACCGGAGCUAAUACCGGAUAAUAUUUUGAACCGCAUGGUUCAAAAGUUAAAGACGGUCUUCCUGUCACUUAUAGAUGGAUCCGCGCUGCAUUAGCUAGUUGGUAAGGUAACGGCUUACCAAGGCAACGAUGCAUAGCCGACCUGAGAGGGUGAUCGGCCACACUGGAACUGAGGCACGGUCCAGACUCCUACGGGAGGCAGCAGUAGGGAAUAUUGCGCAAUGGGCGAAAGCCUGACGGAGCAACGCCGCGUGAGUGAUGAAGGUCUUCGGAUCGUAAGACUCUGUUAUUAGGGAAGAACAUAUGUGUAAGUAACUGUGCACAUCUUGACGGUACCUAAUCAGAAAGCAACGGCUAACUACGUG
rnacentral:rRNA from 1 species